ACGUCAGCUGCCUAUAACUCAUAGAUAUAUAUACAGGCCCUGCGUUCCAAAUCGCAUACUUCUACUAUAUACUUUUAGUAUGUACUGCAGAGAGUCGUGCAUACCGUCGGAGGUGCCGGAGAGCUCUGUUGCUGUUAUGUCGUAAUCAAUGGCGGAUCGCGGAGCCUCUCAAUAGUUCCCGGAAGUAAGCGGCACAUGCUAGCAGCGCAAUGGAGUUACAGCAGAAAAGACCAGCUGUGAUGUACUUUUAACGGGAGCACUGGGUGGUGGCGGAGCAGUGAUGCUGCAGGACCACUGUGUGAGAGAGGACGCUGCAGAUAAGUGCUGAGUCGACCUUGGUGAGACUUAAAACUUAACAAGCACAAGAACAACAGGGGGAUGCAAUGGAGCCUGAACUCACCCCGCAAUGAAACAACCCCCUUACCCUGAGUCUCAACUCUGUGGGUUUUGCAAGCCUUUCCCUGUUCCUUAUUUUUAAUAAACCAAACACUGAGCUUCCCAA